GCUAAUUUGAUGUUUUUUGAUGUUUCUAUCACCUCGGUACACCCUAAAUAAUGCUUCUUAAUGUAUUGAAGUGAUUUUUCUAAGUUACCGUAGCAUUGCUCUAAAACAAUGCUACCUUGGGAAGGUAAAAAUAUGCUAAAUAUGUGUCAUUGGGUUUGCUACCCUAAACCUUUUGCAUGGGCAUUAGGUUGAAACCAAAAUUUAACAAAAAUGACAGGAAUCUUGGCUUCCCAUGCUAGGAGAAGCAAUAUGAAAUAUUCUAAAAUCAAUUAGUGAGAUACGAAACAUACAAUGAUACAAUCAAUUAUAUGUAUUUAAAGUACAACAUACAUACCGACAUGAGACAUCUAUAAUCUCGUCGAGUUGUGAUGUCUCUCGUAUAUAUCCAUAAUCAGAAGAUAUAUCAGCCCACCCUUCUAACCAAACGACAUUGUAGUCCUGUACACUCAUCCUAUAAGGUACGCGCUCUGAGUUAUAACCGUUCUUGAUCUCAUUGAAGCUCUGGCUCUAAGAAAUAUCCUUUGGCUGAUAAUACAACUAUGGAGUGACCCAUCUGAAUAUGCCAACAGCAAAAUCCGACCCGUAAAGUGUUCCAAGCUGCGUAGGGUAAUAGCUACUGAAAGACAAUACUUCAGACGCACCAUAUCCAUAUCCGUAUGGAUCAUAGGUGGCUUCUGAUUGCGGAUAAAAGGAUCCGGCAUACGACUCAGAAUCUAUUACGUCUAC
rnacentral:lncRNA from 1 species